rnacentral:rRNA from 1 species
CGCGUAGGCGGAUGGCACAGUCAGAUGUGAAAUUCCCGGGCUUAACCUGGGGGCUGCAUUUGAUACGUGUGGUCUGGAGUGAGGAAGAGGGUCGUGGAAUUCCCAGUGUAGAGGUGAAAUUCGUAGAUAUUGGGAAGAACACCGGUGGCGAAGGCGGCGACCUGGUCCUUGACUGACGCUGAGGCGCGAAAGCGUGGGGAGCAAACAGGAUUAGAUACCCUGGUAGUCCACGCUGUAAACGAUGUGUGCUGGAUGUUGGGCGACCUAGUCGCUCAGUGUCGUAGCUAACGCGAUAAGCACACCGCCUGGGGAGUACGGCCGCAAGGUUGAA